AUUGAACGCUGGCGGCAGGCCUAACACAUGCGAGUCGAGCGGAGGAAGGGAGCUUGCUCCUGGAUUCAGCGGCGGACGGGUGAGUAAUGCCUAGGAAUCUGCCUGGUAGUGGGGGAUAACGUCCGGAAACGGGCGCUAAUACCGCAUACGUCCUGAGGGAGAAAGUGGGGGAUCUUCGGACCUCACGCUAUCAGAUGAGCCUAGGUCGGAUUAGCUAGUUGGUGGGGUAAAGGCCUACCAAGGCGACGAUCCGUAACUGGUCUGAGAGGAUGAUCAGUCACACUGGAACUGAGACACGGUCCAGACUCCUACGGGAGGCAGCAGUGGGGAAUAUUGGACAAUGGGCGAAAGCCUGAUCCAGCCAUGCCGCGUGUGUGAAGAAGGUCUUCGGAUUGUAAAGCACUUUAAGUUGGGAGGAAGGGCAGUAAGUUAAUACCUUGCUGUUUUGACGUUACCAACAGAAUAAGCACCGGCUAACUUCGUG
rnacentral:rRNA from 1 species